rnacentral:lncRNA from 1 species
AUGGAGAUCUAUGUAGAAAAAUGCAGGCCUAACCCCUCCCCUCACAGAGGUGACAGUCUUCAUAAAGAGAACACAUUAAUAAGAUGUAUCAAUUCCAUGAUUUCAUCUUUACCAAGAAAUGCAAAAAAAAAAAAACCUACGAGGGAAAUGAAAUGCCAAGAACAUAUUCUAAAUGCAGAUGUAUGUUCAUCAAUAAAAGACAAGGUUAAGUGCCAAGACACUAAGUAAAGACUGGGGUGGGACCAGGGCAAAGAAGGUCCUCAGUGUUCACCGGUAAUGAUGGAAGAGUUUCCCCAACUCACCCACCUUGAUGGAAGUUUGUGUGUGUAUUGAGGGAGUAUAAUAUACGAGGCCUUUGGAGGGGUACUUUAAGGUACAAGCUGGAACACACACAACAAACAGGGCACUGAAUUAAAAUGUUUUGAAUGCUGUUUUCUUUAAUCCUUACAACAUUCCUAUGAAAGGUGCAUUAUUAUUUUCAUUUUACAAAUAAGGAAGUUGAGUCUGAGAGACGUCACCAGCUUGUACACAAUGAAGCAAGAAUAUGGUCCCAUCUGUGCCCUACCUAUAUCCUCGUUGUCCUAAAACAACAAAUAAGUAAACCGAUAAAACUAAGACUCCUAGCUUUGAGAGGGCUAAACCCCCUAAAAACGACCAAAGGUUUUCAGAUGUGGAGUAGGUGCUUCCCACAGAGAGCUGUUUUUCAGCUGCACUGGGCCCUAGUUUGGGCUGUCAGGAUAAAAUUCACUUCACUAUGGUCUCUGUUGUCUCUGUCUCUCUGUCUCUCCCAACCCUUCUACUCCUCUCCACAGAGAGCACAUUUUUCAGUUUGCCAAAGAUAGCUUCUCACUUUCUAUAACUGGAAAAGAAAAAGACUGAAUUUGAGUAAGUGAGGCUUUUUAAAUGCAAGACUAUUAAUACAAGCUUUUUAAAAUGAGGUAUUGAUGUUAUGUUAAUAUGUCGUUUCUCAUAAUGGUUUGAUGAUGGCACUAAUUCAAGUUGCUUCCUGUUGAGGACUAAGUUUAUCAAUCAGCCAAAAAGCAGCUAUUUCUAGAGUAUGUGAGAGUAGUCAAGCUGAAUGUAAUGUUUAGAGCCAAGGUGGUUUGGAAUGAGAGACCUUCUGGGAGUUCUAGAAAGAUAGAUAGUCGGAAGACCAGGCUCUGAGUCCUAAUUCCUCUUCUAAAGAAUUCAAAUCUAAAAUUUGGAAUGGAUAAGAUAAAGAAUAUAAAAAGUACGUUGUAAACUAAAAAGUGAAGGGAAUUUAUGGAGCGAUUACAUUGCAGUUCUCAGUGGCCCAAGUCAUGGCCACUGAAAAAAUGAGCCUUAUUCUCUAAAUCAGUUUACCUCUCCAUUGGUGAAAGAUAGUUUUUCAUAAAAAUCAUUAAGUUCCUUCUCUUUCCAGCUGAUAGUUUGAUGUACAUUUUGAAAAGUCAGACUACCUCUACCCAAUCCCCAAUAUUCACUCAUUCCUUUGUUCCUUCCACCCUAAAUCUACCUCACAAAAUGCAGAGCUGUAUUAUUAACGAGGU